rnacentral:rRNA from 1 species
UGAACGCUAGCGACAGGCCUAACACAUGCAAGUCAGGGGCAGCACAAGGAGCAAUCUGAGGUGGCGACCGGCGCACGGGUGAGUAACACGUAUGCAACCUGCCUGUAAGCGGGGAAUAACCCGUUGAAAGACGGACUAAUACCGCAUAAGUACUAAAUUACUGCAUGGUAAUUUAUUUUAAACAUUUAUGGCUUACAGAUGGGCAUGCGCAUGAUUAGCUAAGUUGGAGAGGUAACGGCUCCCCAAGGCAACGAUCAUUAGGGGUUCUGAGAGGAAGGUCCCCCCACACUGGUACUGAGACACGGACCAGACUCCUACGGGAGGCAGCAGUGAGGAAUAUUGGUCAAUGGACGAGAGUCUGAACCAGCCAAGUCGCGUGCAGGAAGAAUUGUCCUAUGGAUUGUAAACUGCUUUUGCAGGGGAAUAAAGUGCAUCACGUGUGAUGUUUUGUAUGUACUCUGCGAAUAAGGAUCGGCUAACUCCGUGCCAGCCGCCGC